GGGACACGUGGUAUCCUGUCUGAAUAUGGGGGGACCAUCCUCCAAGGCUAAAUACUCCUGACUGACCGAUAGUGAACCAGUACCGUGAGGGAAAGGCGAAAAGAACCCCGGCGAGGGGAGUGAAAAAGAACCUGAAACCGUGUACGUACAAGCAGUGGGAGCACGCUUAGGCGUGUGACUGCGUACCUUUUGUAUAAUGGGUCAGCGACUUAUAUUCUGUAGCAAGGUUAACCGAAUAGGGGAGCCGAAGGGAAACCGAGUCUUAACUGGGCGUUAAGUUGCAGGGUAUAGACCCGAAACCCGGUGAUCUAGCCAUGGGCAGGUUGAAGGUUGGGUAACACUAACUGGAGGACCGAACCGACUAAUGUUGAAAAAUUAGCGGAUGACUUGUGGCUGGGGGUGAAAGGCCAAUCAAACCGGGAGAUAGCUGGUUCUCCCCGAAAGCUAUUUAGGUAGCGCCUCGUGAAUUCAUCUCCGGGGGUAGAGCACUGUUUCGGCAAGGGGGUCAUCCCGACUUACCAACCCGAUGCAAACUGCGAAUACCGGAGAAUGUUAUCACGGGAGACACACGGCGGGUGCUAACGUCCGUCGUGAAGAGGGAAACAACCCAGACCGCCAGCUAAGGUCCCAAAGUCAUGGUUAAGUGGGAAACGAUGUGGGAAGGCCCAGACAGCCAGGAUGUUGGCUUAGAAGCAGCCAUCAUUUAAAGAAAGCGUAAUAGCUCACUGGUCGAGUCGGCCUGCGCGGAAGAUGUAACGGGGCUAAACCAUGCACCGAAGCUGCGGCAGCGACACUAUGUGUUGUUGGGUAGGGGAGCGUU
rnacentral:rRNA from 1 species